GACCUGGUGGUGAAUGGUUCACACCCACUCUUAUUAGGCCAUAUAAAGUGGGAGUACUCGGUUCGAUUCCGGGCUAGGUUA